UCUUUUAUUUUUUUAUUCCCUCCAGCUCUAUUGGCCGAGACCCUCUCUGGCCACAAACUGCUAUGCCGCGAUCUCCACCUCUCAUUCCGCCAGCAGGUGGCCCCUUUCGGGUGCCAAAAGUACCACUUGCGUGACGGGUGACCGCCCGCAUUCUUUUAUAAGGGACUUCACCUCUGGGUCCGGCCACUCAUGGCCUUUAUCUCCGUCUCUCCAGUCCGCUCGCCGUCGGUACCUCUUCAGUAGGUGAUUACGCCGUAGCUCAUAGUCUUCUCGGGAGCUCAAAGGUAUGGCUCUUAGCUGGACUGGGGCAGGCAUCAUGCCGCUGCACGGUCGCUGAGACGACAAUGUGAUGUCUCGUCCGUUGCAGCAGGGACCAGUGAUUGACGGCGGAAAUAUUGGUUCAGCCGAAUCAAACACUAGGAUUCAGCUUCAAUGCGCAGUACCUAUGUACCCUACGCUUUGCCACAAGACGAGUCGUAUCCGAUGUCCCAACGUCAGACGGAGCCCUUGCAGGAGACCGAUCCUAUUAACCGCUAUUAUCUUCCGACCUGGCCAUCGACAACUAUCUGAAGGACUUUGGCUAUGGCAAACAAGGGAGUGGAUACGCGGA
rnacentral:sRNA from 1 species